UACGGAGGGAGCUAGCGUUGUUCGGAAUUACUGGGCGUAAAGCGCGCGUAGGCGGCUUUGUAAGUUAGAGGUGAAAGCCCGGAGCUCAACUCCGGAACUGCCUUUAAAACUGCAUCGCUUGAAUCCAGGAGGGGUGAGUGGAAUUCCGAGUGUAGAGGUGAAAUUCGUAGAUAUUCGGAAGAACACCAGUGGCGAAGGCGGCUCACUGGACUGGUAUUGACGCUGAGGUGCGAAAGCGUGGGGAGCAAACAGG
rnacentral:rRNA from 1 species